UGCCAUUUCUUCAUUAAUGUAAAUUCAUUUACAUCACACUGGUUUCCCACGAUGUCUUUAGUUCUCUUACUCUGAGGAAAAUUUCAUAAAAAAAUGGAACUAUAGGCAUAUUCCCCUAACAUAUAUCUAUAAAAUUUGAAUAUUCUUAAAAUGCCCAUUAACCAAGAUGGUUUUAUGUUUCCCUCAUCUUGACUAGACUUUAUACCUGAACUUCCCAUGCUUUUCCUUGUCAGGAAUUUGCUUUUUUUUUUUUUUUUUCCUGCUUUUUUAGGGCCACACAUGUGGCACAUGGAAGUUCCCAGGCUAGGGGUCUAAUCAGAGCUACAGCUGCCAGCCUAUACCACAGCCACAGCAAUGCCAGAUUCAAGCCACAUGUGCAAACCACAUAGGCUCAUGACAAUGCCAAAUUCUUAACCCACUGAGAGAGGCCAGGGAUUGAACCUGCAACCUCCUGGUUCCUAGUCAGAUUCGUUUCUGCUGCGCCAUGACGGGAACUCCUUUGUCAGGAAUUUUCUUUCUACCUACCCAUGCUUUUCAGUUCUUUCUCUGCUCUUCUGAGAUACAUGUAAAUUCUUUUAAAAACCUCUUGGCAGUUUUACUCCCCAGUAAUAGCUUUUUAAGGGUCUGGGAGACAUCUUCUGAAAUGUAAUCAUUUAGGAAGACAGCACCCAUACCCCCAUUCUCCGUUGCAGGGCAGGAGCCUAACUUUCAUAAGUACCAAAUAGCAAAUAGAUAGCUUAAUCACAAAGAAAAAUUUUACAAACUUAGAAAACAACUCAUUGUGCUCCACACAUCCCAUUGAUCAACCUCCUCCAUAACUUCCUCCAGUAUUUUCUACUAGCUCAUCCCAGCCUUCCCUGAAAAGCCAUCCAACAGUUGUUUAAGCAGAGUCAAAUUUAGACUGACAUAUAGCUUUUGUCCACUAUUGCAACAGCUUUGAGCAAAAUCUCCUUUGUCUACAUUUUCCUGUGCAAUUCUUACUUUGAAAACAUUUAUCAGAUCUAAAUAAAAUCACCUGUAACUUUGGAUAACAUUAUGCGAUCUUUGAACAUCCAUGGGGAAGGACCCAAGAGUGUCAGAAAGACAUAACCUAAAUAAAUAAACUAAGCACAGAAAGGGACUAUGUGUAUAUGCUUGGAUCUUUGGAUCUUUAACACAAGUAAGUGAUAUUUAAUGCUACCAACACCAAUGAAAAUAGAAAUAAAAGUGAUUAAAGGUAAAUUUCAUGACCAUUUGUUGAAAUGAGAAAAUACCCUGCGUCAAAAAACAAUGAUUGAUAAUUAUAAAAUAUUUAAGAAAUCCCCCCCUUUUUUUAAACUAUAAGGACAGGUAAGGGCACUGUUUCUUAGUUUUAUUUUAGUAGUGUAUCACUCUGAAGCUAUUUACAAAGAAAUAAACUAGGUACAACAAUACAAUGUCAGUUAACUUGCCCAAAAGCUAUUUGUUUUUCCUCUUGAGAAAACAAACAAACAAACAAACAAACACCUAUGGGAAUCUUAGUUAAUGGAGUAAAUUGAGAUGAAUUUAAUAAACAUUUAUUGAUUUUUAUGUGUCAACCACUGCUAAGUUCUGAGACAAUGAACAAAGUGUCACUCUUGUUUGGAAAAACACAAAACACUCUCCUUAGUUGAUAGUUACAUAAAAAUAUUGUGGUGCUUUAUUGUGGUAAAUGCAAUGGUAGAUAUUCAUGAGAUGACAGAGAACACUUAUCUCAAUCUGAGGUUUAAUGGAAAUUUUCUGAGAGGGUUUCUCUCUAAAAGAGUUAAAUCUGGAUAAAAAUAAACAAGUUAUCCCAAUGAUGAAGUUGGGAGAGAGUUUUAACAUGACAUCAAAUGUGGAGGUGGAACUCAUCAAAGCCAUUCAUGGCUUGUAUAUAAAACUUGAAAAGAAGGUAAGAUAGCCCAGAGAAAGACAAGAGCAAUGAAUUUGAGAGAGAACUGAGGGCAACCCCAACAUUUCAGUGAUAGGCAGAGGAAGAGUACACAAAUGAAAAGUACAUAGAGUAAACAGUAUAACAGAAUUCCAGAGAGCAAAGAGUUCUAGAAAGUUGUGCCUGGUAUACAAUAGGGAGGUCCAGCAAGUGGAAUGAAUGUUCUCUCUGGAUUUGGCAAUAUUGAGUUUUUGUUGACUUCCGCCUUAGAUGUUAACUUGAGUGAUGAAGACUAAAACAAAUUGCAAUGUAUUGGUCAAUCAAUUAAAUCUGAAUGAUUAGAGAUGGUGAAUAUAGUUAGUAUAUGUAGUUAGUAUAAAGUUUUUUAUUUGAAAAUGGGAUUGUAUUCUUUGUGUGCUAAGCCCCAGAAUGGGAAGACAGAAGAAAACACCGUAUGUAGGAGAUGAGGAAAAUAACUGCAAAAGUUAGAGGUCAAAGAUAAAUGAAAUAGAGGAGCUACUGAUGGAGCAAAGUCCUUGUUGACAAGAAAAGAGAUGAGAUCAAGUAUCAAUGUGAAAACAGACUGGCCUUGAUCAGGGGUAGAAGCACUUCAUCUCCUGUGAAUGAGAUAAGAAAAUGAAAAUAAACUGGAGGUAAAUGAAAAUGUCAAUACAUUUGAAAGGAGGAAGAAGAAACUAUAUUAGUUUAUUCUAAGUAAUUUUAAUUAUGGUUUUGAAUUUGUUGGUAUGGCAGUAGUAAGAAAAGUAUGGGUGGGUAGGAGACUUAAGAUAAUAGGUGAUCUAGUUAGGUAGGGAAAUGCAAGAGCAGUCCAAAAACAGGAAAAAUUACUGAUAAAUAUUACUGAAGUUAAAUAACACAAAUUACCUCUAAAUUAUGUAUUGAUUUCUCACCUGUCCUUUGCGUAGCUUAGGUCAUGUACAGGCAUCUUCGAGUUAGUAUUUCAUGAUUGUAUUCUCUGUGUGCUAAGCCUCAGGCCUUGGUCUCAGGUGUCGGCCUCCCCAGGUUUUGCUUUAUCCCCAUCUCCUGCAGACCUCUCUCCUCCUGCUUCUUGGUUGCUGCCACCACUCACUCCUGUCUGAUCUCCUAUUUCCCUCAAGACCAGCACGAAUAUGUGAUAAUUUCUUCCUCAGAAUUUCCUUUGCUGUUUUUUCCAAAGACAGUAAAUAAGCCCUCUUUUAAAUUUUAAGUUUCACUACUAAUACUAUGGAAAAAUAGGUAACAUAUACAAAAGUUAUACUUUACACACAUCUAAAAAUGGCAGUAAGUGGUUUGAUCAGAAAGAAUUAUGAAUGGAUACCACCUAGUAUUUCCUCCUCUGCCUAUAUUACCUUGGGGACAGAGGUCAUGAAAAGAACCCCUUCCUUCUAUUCUCUCAUUUAUUGAAAUUGAGGCCUGAAGACAUAAUCAAGGCAGAACAACAGGUGCCCCCUUGUCUCAAGUGGGUCAUUUGCAUCUUGAAGUAUCUCUGGAUUCUAGGUAAUACUUUCCCAAGGGGUUUAAGUUUCUUCCUGGAAUGAUCACUUUUGGAAUUUGCUUCACAGUGUGUUUCACUAGAAUUGCCUUUUAUUACACUGAAGAUUUGUCAAGUGAUUGUGCCCAGCUGAGAUUUCCGGAGAUGUAGGGCCAUCCAUCUUAUACAGCCAUGUGCCUGCUCUAGAGAGCCUCUCAGAGUAAAUACAUAAAGCCCAAGUAAACAAAUCAGUUUAACCCUUGGGAGUUCCCAUAGUGGCUCAGUGGUAACGAAUGCAACUAGUAUCCCUGAGGAUGCAGGUUUGAUCCUUGGCCCUGCUUAGUGGGUUAAGAAUUGUUUUCUAUUUGCUUGUUUGUUUUUUUUGUCUUUUCUAGGGCCACUAGCUCGGGUUCCCAGGGGUUCCUGAGGCUAGGGGUCUGAUCAGAGCUGUAGCCACCGGCCUACGCCAGAGCCACAGCAACGUGGGAUCCAAGCCUCAUCUGUGACCUACACCACAACUUACAGCAACGCUGGAUUCCUUAACCCACUGAGCAAGGCCAGGGAUCGAACCCGCAACCUCAUGGUUCCUAGUCGGAUUCAUUAACCACUGUGCCACAAUGGGAACUCCUGGGUUAAGAAUUGUGAACUGUGGCGUAGGUUGCAGACAUGGCUCAAAUCCCAUGUUGUUAUGUCUGUGCAGCUCCAAUUAGACCCCUAGCUUGGGAACUUCCAUAUGCCUCAGGUGCAGCUCUAAAAAAGAAAAAAAUAUUAAUUUAACCCUUCAAAAGAAUGACAAUGAAGUUCAAAAAGUAAAACAAUGAAACAUGGAGGAAAAAUAGUCUGUGCUGGAUGAAAAUCCAUUAUUCUGAUAGAGUCUAAUAAGUUUUAGGUUUAAACAACAAAAUUUCUUAACCAAAACAUUGUAUACAUCUGCUAGAGCUGAGAGUGGUUAUUUUUAGGUGUGAAAAAAAAAAAAAAAAAGAAAAAAAGAACAAUGUUAAACUUACUUGUUGACCUUUCCCCAAAAAUCAUGGUUAUGUCGAAAAAUCAAAAAUGCACUGUGAUAUUUAUUUAUUUAUUUAUUUAUUUAUGUAUGUCUUCAUAGGGCCGCACCCAGGGCAUAUGGAGGUUCCCAGGCUAGAGGUCUAAUCAGAGCUGACUUUCGCCAGAGCCACAGCAACACCAGAUAUGAGCUGGGUCUGCGACCUGCACCACAGCUCACAGCAAUGCUGGAUCCUUAACCCACUGAGUGAGGCCAGGGAUCGAACCCGCAACCUCACGGUUCCUAGUCGGAUUCAUUUCCAAUGCGCCACUAUGGGAACUCCAAAAGUACACUGUGAUAUUUUUCAUACAUAAAUUUCAAACUAAUAUUUUAUAGACUCCAAUGACUAUGUGUUGAUUAUAUAUCUUUCAUAAGUGUAUACAAAGUUUUGAGAGAAUUAAUAUCUGAACGAUUUAAACACAAUGCUUGAAGAAUUUACAAUACAUUGAGUCAAAGACAAAAAUUUUAUGUAAGACAAAAAUAGCAAGAGUUCUAAAUAAAAAGGCAAAAUUGCACAGGGAAAAGAGUUUGAAGGAAACAUUUUGGCAAAAUGUAGUGGGUAUCAGCUGAUGCAAAGUUUGAAAAAAAUUCAAUAUAGGAGAGAUGGGAAACAAGAAUGGGAAGAGAAAGGCAUUUUUCUGAAAACCUGGAGAGCCUCAUGAAACUUCGUCAUAACAGAAUGAAAUCAAUUGUCAUUUGACAAACCAUAAAUGAAAAUUGCUCAAAGAAUAUCAAAAAUAAAAUAAUGUUUAGCUGAAUAUAUAGGAGGAAAAUACAUAGUGAUGUAUAUGUCCUAUAGGUAUUUAAAAUUUUAUUCUAGGCCUGCUUGCAUAUGGUAAAUAAAUGAUGUAAGUUUGGGAAAAAAAAUUACUUCAUAAAAAUAGCCUAAUCCCUAUUAACAUCCUGUAAACAGUUUUUUAGUGAAAAACAAUUCAUUAGUGACAUUAUGUUUGUCAUUUUUAAUCAACUGUAAUGCCAUGUUAAAAUCUGACAAAUAUACUUCAGAUAG
ensembl:lncRNA